UUUCCGUAGGUGAACCUGCGGAAGGAUCAUUACUGAGUGAGGGCCCCUCGGGGUCCAACCUCCCCCCCGUGUUUAACGAACCUUGUUGCUUCGGCGGGCCCGCCUCACGGCCGCCGGGGGGCAUCUGCCCCCGGGCCCGCGCCCGCCGAAGCCACCUGUGAACGCUGUCUGAAGUAUGCAGUCUGAGACAAUUAUUAAAUUAAUUAAAACUUUCAACAACGGAUCUCUUGGUUCCG
rnacentral:misc_RNA from 1 species